CUUCAUCAUCUGUGGCAGUCACCUUAUCCUGCAGAAACAUAUUGCAGACAAGACCCUGCUCUACCAAAAUAUAUAUUUAAAUUGUGAGACUGCUAAAACCAGAAACUAUUAUUGCUUUGUUGUUUACGCUUUAGGCUCUUGCUGACUGGGUACACAACAUGUCUAUUU